AGUAGGUAUUAUAAGAAAUUUUUAAAAAGAUGAACAAAGACUCCGUACAGUAUUCUAAAAUACAUUCAUAAAUUUAUUUUAACAAUGCAGAAGACACAUAAUUUAUGGCACCCAUCUAAGGCAAUAGUUAAAAGAAUGAAGCCACUUUGUUGCUUCUAUUAAGGAAAGUCUGUCAUCUCCAUUUUGAAUCUUGAUAUUUGUAACAUUAUUGUAAAAUUUUUAAAUAGAUUUAGCAUACUGAUUCUAUCUCCAAGAAAGACAUAUCUGAUGUGGCAAUGGCUAUUAAACUUUCAAAUAUGACAUAUUACUUAUGGUUGGAAUAGUUACCUCCGAUAAAGCUAAAAUUCUUAUAAAACUAAAACUAUGCAGUUCAUAUGCAGUUGCUAGUCAAAGCAGUUUGACUUCAUAGGUGGCGUUUACUGUUUUAUCUCACGUAGGCCCAUGAUAUGUACACAGUAAACUGUAAAAAAUUUUAAAAAGACAUAUUUUCCCAGAUUAUUGGUGAAACUUUCACUCUUGGACUCUCGUAACAAAAUAAUUGUUAGAAUUGUUAAGACAUAUAAAGUAUGUUGGUUGGAUAGAAGACUCAGAAAAGCCCUGGCAAUAAAUACAAAGUAUAAAACAGCAUUCUUCUUAAAUCGGUAGUAAAAUCUAAUAGGGUCAAUAAAGAAGAUUGUAAAUCAUGUUAUUUCUAGGCCUCAAGCAUGCUUAUAGCUGUAUAUGACAUAGUCUGAGCCAUAGUUAUAUGGAGGCAUACAGGAUUUAUUUAAGUAGCUAAUGUAUAUAUUUCAAUGCAUAUGAAAAGUUAUAAAUAUAAUCCCCUCUCUUCAUUAACUGAAGAGAUAUCCUCUUAUACUAGCCACCUUAAAAUGCACCAAAAGAAGCAUUUUAAAACACUUAUAUUUUAAUUUUGCUUCUUACACAGGUUUCUUAUAUUGCUUUUGUAUGAUCGUUAUAAUACAAACGCUAUUUCAGUGCAACUGUGUAAUCACUUUAGAGUACAGUUUCUGACAAUAGUAUUUUUGGGGAUGGGUCAUGGUGAAAACGUUGCUGAUGAUAAAGAAAAGCAUUGUUCUUUUCUCCUAGGCAGAAUCUAUGUAUGUUCUUUUGUUCUGGUGGUAACUGCAGACAAUCAAUAAGGUCCAAAGCUGCUGGUUCCCCUCCGCCUAGGUCCCAAGAGCCUGACUUGUGAUGUUACUAAAAUACCUCACAAGUUAGGGUCUCAGGGACUAGGAAAAGUCUGGUUUGAUGCGGUAGAAUUCUUCUUCCAGAAAUAAGGAUAGCUUAGAAAUUACAGUUGGGUUCACUUAGACUUUUACCUCUAAAUACUAUUUAAA
rnacentral:lncRNA from 1 species